CACAAGGGCAGGGGUACUUCCCUACCUGAAAAUGUCUAGUUCCAGCUCAUGAGUCCGUUGUUGGUCCUCCUGAUUCUGCUUUUGCAUUUCUUCUUCUUCUUUUGGAGUCAUGGAACUGAAGCCGUCCAAGAGCCAUUUUUCUCGCAAGGCCUUUUUCUGAUGGGGAAAAUAGACAAUUUCCAGUGGGCUGCCAUUAAUGGGAGAAGAACCAAAACAUGAGUAGCAGGCACAUCAAUCUCUCCUUUCAGUGAAGGAACACCACACAUCAGUAUUAUGAAAUCCCAAUGGAAUUUCAAAACUUGAAGUGUCUUUAAACAAAUAGAAGCAUCUCUCUUAAGCUGUGAUCAUGUUCAGAAAAAAAAAAGGCUAUGGAAAUCAAUGGCCAUUCAUUG